rnacentral:rRNA from 1 species
ACGGCUCAGUAACACGUGGACAACCUGCCCUUAGGUUGGGUAUAAACCCGGGAAACUGGGUAUAAUACCCGAUAGGUCUCGAUUGCUGGAAUGCAUCGAGAUUUAAAGCUCCGGCGCCUAAGGAUGGGUCUGCGGCCUAUCAGGUAGUAGUGGGUGUAGCGUACCUACUAGCCUACGACGGGUACGGGUUGUGAGAGCAAGAGCCCGGAGAUGGAUUCUGAGACACGAAUCCAGGCCCUACGGGGUGCAGCAGGCGCGAAAACUUUACAAUGCUGGCAACAGCGAUAAGGGAACCUCGAGUGCCAGGUUACAAAUCUGGCUGUCGAGAUGCCUAAAAAGCAUUUCAUAGCAAGGGCCGGGCAAGACCGGUGCCAGCCGCCGCGGUAACACCGGCGGCUCGAGUGGUAACCGUUAUUAUUGGGUCUAAAGGGUCUGUAGCCGGCCGGAUAAGUCUCUUGAGAAAUCUGGCAGCUUAACUGUCAGGCUUUCAGGAGAUACUGUCUGGCUCGAGGCCGGGAGAGGUGAGAGGUACUUCAGGGGUAGGGGCGAAAUCUUGUAAUCCUUGAAGGACCACCAGUGGCGAAGGCGUCUCACCAGAACGGACCUGACGGCAAGGGACGAAAGCUAGGGGCACGAACCGGAUUAGAUACCCGGGUAGUCCUAGCCGUAAACGAUACUCGCUAGGUGUCGGCCACGGUGCGACCGUUGUCGGUGCCGUAGGGAAGCCGUGAAGCGAGCCACCUGGGAAGUACGGCCGCAAGGCUGAAACUUAAAGGAAUUGGCGGGGGAGCAC